UACGUAGGGGGCUAGCGUUAUCCGGAAUUACUGGGCGUAAAGGGUGCGUAGGUGGUUUCUUAAGUCAGAGGUGAAAGGCUACGGCUCAACCGUAGUAAGCCUUUGAAACUGGGAAACUUGAGUGCAGGAGAGGAGAGUGGAAUUCCUAGUGUAGCGGUGAAAUGCGUAGAUAUUAGGAGGAACACCAGUUGCGAAGGCGGCUCUCUGGACUGUAACUGACACUGAGGCACGAAAGCGUGGGGAGCAAAUAGG
rnacentral:rRNA from 1 species